rnacentral:rRNA from 1 species
UACGAAGGGUGCAAGCGUUACUCGGAAUUACUGGGCGUAAAGGGUGCGUAGGUGGUCGUUUAAGUCCGUUGUGAAAUCCCUGGGCUCAACCUGGGAAUGGCAGUGGAUACUGGACGGCUAGAAUGCGGUAGAGGGGAGUGGAAUUCCCGGUGUAGCAGUGAAAUGCGUAGAGAUCGGGAGGAACACCAGUGGCGAAGGCGGCUACCUGGACCAGUAUUGACACUCAAGCACGAAAGCGUGGGGAGCAAACAGG